UAUACAGGGGAAUAGCCCGAAGAAAUUCGGAUUAAUGCUCCAUGGUUUAUCGAUAUGGCAUCGUAUUGAUAAUAAAGAUUUAUCGGUAUAAGAUGGGCAUGCGUAUCAUUAGCUAGUUGGUGUGGUAACGGCAUACCAAGGCAACGAUGAUUAGGGGUCCUGAGAGGGAGAUCCCCCACACUGGUACUGAGACACGGACCAGACUCCUACGGGAGGCAGCAGUGAGGAAUAUUGGUCAAUGGAGGCAACUCUGAACCAGCCAUGCCGCGUGCAGGAUGACGGUCCUAUGGAUUGUAAACUGCUUUUGUACAGGAAGAAACCUCCCUACGAGUAGGGACUUGACGGUACUGUAAGAAUAAGGAUCGGCUAACUCCGUGCCAGCAGCCGCGGUAAUACGGAGGAUCCGAGCGUUAUCCGGAAUUAUUGGGUUUAAAGGGUUCGUAGGCGGCUUUGUAAGUCAGUGGUGAAAUUUCCUAGCUUAACUAGGACACUGCCAUUGAUACUGCAGAGCUUGAAUAAUAUGGAAGUAACUAGAAUAUGUAGUGUAGCGGUGAAAUGCUUAGAUAUUACAUGGAAUACCAAUUGCGAAGGCAGGUUACUACGUAUUUAUUGACGCUGAUGAACGAAAGCGUGGGGAGCGAACAGGAUUAGAUACCCUGGUAGUCCACGCCGUAAACGAUGGAUACUAGCUGUUCGGUUUUCGGACUGAGUGGCUAAGCGAAAGUGAUAAGUAUCCCACCUGGGGAGUACGUUCGCAAGAAUGAAACUCAAAGGAAUUGACGGGGGCCCGCACAAGCGGUGGAGCAUGUGGUUUAAUUCGAUGAUACGCGAGGAACCUUACCAGGGCUUAAAUGUAGAUUGACAGAUUUGGAAACAGAUUUUUCUUCGGACAAUUUACAAGGUGCUGCAUGGUUGUCGUCAGCUCGUGCCGUGAGGUGUCAGGUUAAGUCCUAUAACGAGCGCAACCCCUAUUGUUAGUUACCAGCGCGUAGUGGCGGGGACUCUAGCAAGACUGCCGGUGCAAACCGUGAGGAAAGUGGGGAUGACGUCAAAUCAUCACGGCCCUUACGUCCUGGGCUACACACGUGCUACAAUGGCAAGUACAGAAAGCAGCUACCUGGCAACAGGAUGCGAAUCUCCAAAGCUUGUCUCAGUUCGGAUUGGAGUCUGCAACUCGACUCUAUGAAGCUGGAAUCGCUAGUAAUCGGAUAUCAGCCAUGAUCCGGUGAAUACGUUCCCGGGCCUUGUACACACCGCCCGUCAAGCCAUGGAAGCUGGGGGUACCUGAAGUCGGUGACCGCA
rnacentral:rRNA from 1 species